GUGCCAGCCGCCGCGGUAAUACGUAGGUGGCAAGCGUUGUCCGGAUUUAUUGGGUUUAAAGGGUGCGUAGGCGGUCUUAUAAGUCAGUGCUGAAAUAUCCCGGCUUAACCGGGAGGGUGGCAUUGAUACUGUAGGACUUGAGUAAAGUUGAGGUUGGCGGAAUUGACGGUGUAGCGGUGAAAUGCUUAGAUAUCGUCAAGAACACCUAUAGCGAAGGCAGCUAACUAAGCUUUAACUGACGCUGAGGCACGAAAGUGUGGGGAUCAAACAGGAUUAGAUACCCCCGUAGUCC
rnacentral:rRNA from 1 species